UCAUGGUUUGAAGGUUAGUUGAAGUCACUUUUUCUUUCAAGUGUAAAUAUUCAACUCUUAAACUUAACUUUAAUUCUUUUGAAGCAUUCAUUUUAGCCGGUUGUUAUUUGUUUUUCAUCCAAGUCUAGAUAUAUUCAGUUUUUUAAACUGCCUCAUAAUAAUAUAUAAUGAUUUUUUAUUUCAAUAGGUACCGUACUUGUUAGCUUUUUAAUUAACUAUUUUGAGCCCAGCUUUCUCAAAUAGUUUAAAAUUUAGAUAUCUUUUAAAAUACUUAAAUAAUCAUUUUGAUCAUUCUAUAUUUUUCUUAUCGAUUCUAUACGGACAAUUCUUAUUACUCUUUCUUUUCCUAUCACAUACUUUUCUUAAUUAUUUAAAAUAAAUUCUAUCAAUCUCGAGUAAGUUAUAUAAAUUCUAUUUCAAUAAUGUAGGUAGUUCAUUCUAUUAAAAAUUCUCCAUCACAAAAUGUUGGAAAUGUUUUUAUAGCCUCGUAAUUUUUUUAUUUAAAUGCUUCAGUCUACAAGUAGUUUGGAUUCAAAACUAAAAUAAUAGGCAGGCUAUGUUAUAUCAAAAAAUAAAAUUAUUAUAUUUAAUUGUUUCAUCUUUUUAUGCCUAUUUACGUUUUUUGAGGUUGGCCAAUAGUUGAAAAAAUCCAAUUUGUCAGGUUUAUUAAAAUUGAAUUUUAUUAAAAAGAAUUAGUUUCAAGACCAAUUGAAUGCACAAACCCCAAUAAAAAAGUUAAUUUCUAAAGUUUAUAGAGUUAUGUUGUGGAACUUUUCCUUAAUUGAAGAAACUUGUGAGUACACACAAAAUCAUGCUCCUGUAAAAUAAUAAAUUUUAUAGAAAUAAAGUGGAUUUUUUGUUAAUAUCUCAAGUCUCUUUUAUUUAUUUGUAAAACAUAAGGUAGGCCUGUAACUUAAAUAUAGCCUAUUUAUUAUUUAUAGUUGAUUCUAUUUGUAAAUUAUGAAUAUUAAUUAACCUAGGUUUUGUUUAUUCCAACAGGUUCUAUAUGCACGUAAAGAAACGUUUAUGGAAAGACAUCAUCAGUUAUCAAUGAAGAGCAGCGUCACUAUAUAUGGAUCGGUGAAUUUGGUUCAUCACAGCAUCACUUCUCUAAUAAUUAUAAACACAAUCGUCGCAGCUAUCCAUUCAUUUUUGCUCUGAGUAAAAUGGUGUCUUUGAAUUUACAUUUUACUCUGUGAGUAAAAUGGUGUUUUUGAUUUACAUCCAAUAACAAUGGAUUCUUUGAGUAAUUAUCUUAUAUCUUGAAUUUGUAUUUUUUAUCUACAUUGUAUUCAAUCCUUUUGUUUCAGUUUCAGAGUGUUUCAGGUUCAUCUUUUUAAACGCUCAUAUUUUUCAUCUCAGCUCAUCUUUUUAAACGCUCACAUCUUUUCCUCCAUGCUUACUGUGUACAUGCUUUGAGUGACCCAUGUUGCAUUUAGAACAACUCAAGUUUUUUGUCAACAUGAAUUUUCUCAAUUUUUAUGUUUCUCAAGUACGUUUCAGAUUCAUUGCGGCUUCUCUACUUAAAGUGCGCACAUGCUCACAACUUUUUUUUUAUUUGAGUGUGAUGCCCGCAUGAGAUCUAGGCUUGUGCAUGGUUGAUGAGGCGGAUGAUAAGAUAUGAAUGCACCUACAGUUUGAGUUUUACAGUUUCAUUUCUUCAUGUUUUCUGAGUGCAUGCUUCGAGUGAUCUAGGCGUGUGCAUGAGUAAUGAGGUGGAUGAUAAUUAAUAAGAGAUGAAUGCACAUACAGUUUUAGUUUUAUCUCUUCAUUUUUAUUGAGUGCAUGCUUCCAGUGAUCUAGGCUUGUGCAUGGGUAAUGAGGCGGAUGAUAAUAAGAGAUGAAUGCAUUUGCAGUUUUAGUUUUACAGCUCUAUCUCUUCAUGUGUUUUGAGUGCAUGUUUAGGAUGAUUUAUGUUGCAUCUUGAACACGUUGUGUUGUGGCCAUUUGUUGCAUACUAUAUGUUCACUUUUAUGUUUGAUAUGUGAUGAAAAACAUGUGUUAUAAUAAUAUUAUAUGUUGUAUGUUGCAUUAUAUUCACUAUAUGUCUUGAAUGAGCUGUAGGCAUAUAAUAGAUCGGAUUAACAGUCGGUUAAAUUUUAACCGUGAUUAAUUUCAAGAGAACCAAUCUGAGAUGGCCUUCUUGAUAACACGGCUUCUCUGAUUGGCUCUCGUGGAAUUAAUCACGAUUAAAAUUGUACUGUUGGAUGCAAGAAGGGCUUCAAGUCACUCAAGCCCUUUUUGCGUAAAACGCUUAAACCAAUUCCAGCUGGUUUUCUGUACAUGCCUGCUAAAUCUCGUUUCUGUAGCAGCCCAUUAUCGGGACUCCUGGAGGCGACUGACCCAAACUAUAUAUAUUUUUUUUAGUUGAAUUGUUACAGUAUUGUGUUUUUCCAGUUAAACUAAUGAGAUUUCUGUUUCAGAUAAUGAGGUUUCAGCGUCCUUCUCAUAGAUAGAAAGGAACAUUAUAAAACCUUCUAUAGAGUGAAGCGUCUGGGACUUACACCAAACGAAGCAUAUGACCGAAGUAGACUCCUGGAAGCUAAUGACCCGAAACGUCGACCAUACCUCAGUGGGAAAAGGCUGAGAAUAAGACAAAGAGAGAGAGAAGAGCACGUACCAGACAGUGACUGGCCCGAUCACCUGGAGAAAGCAGACGACAAUAUCAGAUGUGCCCAGUACCUACUUGAGUGAGGAUGUCAAAGUUCUAUAUGCACGUAAAGAAACGUUUAUGGAAAGACAUCAUCAGUUAUCAAUGAAGAGCAGCGUCACUAUAUAUGGAUCGGUGAAUUUGGUAUGAGGUAUUUGGUAUUUAUAUUAUGUUUAGACAGGCUAGAACUUCUUAACACUUUCCCAUAACACAGAUAUUUAGGGAUGGGAUGUUUGUGGCGGUUAGUAUUAUAACAUGGUUUAUUCCAACCCUCUCGGCAGUGCCAAGUUCUAUCCGGUUGGUUCUGAGUCCAAUGGAUGCUUUCAAGUUAGAGUCAACUGACCUGCAGAUCGCAUUUCCGCGUGCCAACAACUGGACGAACAUGUGCUACUGUUUGAUUGUGGUUUGUGGAUGGCUGUGGUGUAAGACAAUCACUAUAAAUAGGGCUUGAGUGGUUAGGGUCCCCGUAGGAUAUUUGCAGUUGUCAGUCGAGUAUUUCAUUUCUGAUCAGUGCCCUUUGUGGCGGUCUCACAGCUUUUUCAUGAUGGUUGCGGGCUCAGUACAGCACUAAUUUGAUGGGCAGGUGGGGUACUGUUACACUGUGGCCUGGUCUGAUUUGUUCUAUGAGACUGGCGAUGUAAAUAUUAGAUUAAUGCUGGAUUAAGAUUAGAUUUAAGGCUGAAGUAAAAGUGAAGUAUAGCCUCUAGCCUUUGCUAGUUGGCGGGGGAAAGCCUCUAGCCUUUGCUAGUUGGCGGGGGACGAGAAAGUAGAGCCUCUAGCCUUUGCUAGUUGGCGGGGGAUAGCCUCUAGCCUUUGCUAGUUGGCGGGGAGAAGAAAGUAUAGCCUCUAGCCUUUGCUAGUUGGCGGGGGACUAGAAAGUAUAGCCUCUAGCCUUUGCUAGUUGGCGGGGGGAUCAUUCACUCCUGGUGGUCAGGUAGUGCAUUAGUUUAGUUAUAAGUCAUUAGAAUUAAGAAAUUAGAAAUUUAAGUUUAGAUUUAAGAUUGGAGUGAUAUUAGUAAAGUAAAGCCUCUAGCCUUUGCUAGUUGGCGGGG